rnacentral:lncRNA from 1 species
GUGAAACCAUGACCGUACACAUGUUGGGUUUUGAGCAUUCUAACACUCCUAAGUGUACAUGCAACCCUAAAUACCUUGGAUCUAUGUUUUCUCUAUUAUACAUGCAAAUAAGAACUUCCAAGGUAUUAUCCUAAUCUAGCAUACAAAACAAUAACUAUAGCAAGAUAGAAUACAUACCUCUUUGAUGUAGAAAGUCUUCAUGAAGCUUGAGUGCCUAGUGCCCCAAGUGUGACACCUCAAAUGGAAUCACAAUCAUCAAAACACUUAGAAUAACUUGAGAGAAUUCUUACAACUCAUGAAAUCGGCUAGCCCUCUCUAGAAUAAUACUAGUGGCCGAUUUUUCCUCAAUAAUAAGAUGCUUAUAUAGUUAGGGUUACACCAUGUAAACCCUAAUUGACAUGGCCUUUCAUUUCCAUGAUCCAUGGGUACAAAUACACCAUGGAGCAUCCAUGGACCAUCCUAUGGGUUUUAGCCCAACUUGAUUAUCCAUGGAGCAUUAGCCCACUAUACAAGUAUGGAUGAUUUACACAAUCAACCCAUAUAUUUAAUUAGUCUUCUUUUGAUCACUUAAUUAAUCCUAGAUUAAUUCUUGAUCAAUACUAAUUAAAUAAUCUUAUUAUUCUUAUUAUUAAUAUACUAGAACUUAUAAUAUAUUAAUAACCAUAAGUGUCUUAUUUCUCUCAUUAUAGUCUAUCCAAGUGCAUGAUGGUAUGCAACCCAAAUGGACCAUGCCGGGUCGGGUCAAGUCUUACCAAUUAUAGUUAUGGACUUAGACAUUAAUCCAACAGUCUCCCACUUGGAUAAGUCUAAAACUAUUAUUGCGUAUGACUUCAGGAACCAACUGGCAAUCGUAGCUCUCAAAAGCUUCUGUCGAACUCUGACCUUGUAGAUGAACUCUGACCUUUGUCAAUGACUUGUCCAUUAGAUAAGGGAUCAUAUAUUCCUCCAUUCUAGAUAUCAUAUGGACUGAGACAUGGAUUAUAAUCAUUCUCUCUGUCCAUUUGUUGUUUCCCGAUUUCCGAUUUAUGACGACUGACUAAUUGAACAAAUCAAAUCAGUCCUGGCCCGGCCGAGCACUUCCAUUUGUCAUCAUCAAAUCAUCGAGGGGCCCACAGAUAUCGCUUUUAUCCCGAAGGUAAAAGGAAUGGAUAAACUUCGACUCAUAUGGCUUGUUCUACUACUUGUUGAAUCAUACACAAAGGCACGUUUUAUAGCACCGAGUUACCAAAUGCGUUUUCGUGCAAUCAAUGUACUAUCAACUCAUAGUAACAACUCAUAUCUCUAGGUUUGAAGAAUAUAAGAUAUUAUCGUCUCAUGAUCACUCGUGAUAAAAUCCAUGAAGUGAUUCCAAUGAGCGCGGGUUGAAUCCAAUACUCAGAACUUAUGAGCACUCAUGAGUGUUGUAGCCCUUUGUCCAACACCUUAGACCUCUACAAGCCAACCCAUGACAGUCUUAAUUCAUAUCUACUUCCAACAUAUGACCGACUGUGGAUGGUUUGAAUAACUUAGUCAUUCCGGAAGAAUAACCCAGUUUAUUCGGGAAGUCAAAACAUGCAAAAUGAAACACAAUAAUAAUUGAAUCCAAUAUGGUAUCAACCCUUUGAACAUAAAUAAAACACCUUUUAUUUAUCACCAUAUGAUUACACAUUAUUCAUUGUAUACUGUUUCAGCUAUCAACUUUAUUCUUGAAUUUAAAACAAUAGUUGUCCCAUGCUCCAAGCAUGUACACUAUGUUUUCUUAAACACUAGUCAUGCCACACACCAAGUAUGCAUACUAUGUUUGUCUAUGAUCUUUACUUUGUGAACUAGAUCAAUUGAACAUAACUUCAAUGAUUCUCUUUUCACACUCCCAAAUCCUUACUGCAAAUGCAAGAAUUCCAAAUUCAUGCCAUUUACUGAAAUCUGUUAGAUUCUAAACUUAUAUGCAUUGAUCCUCUUGUAAUGAUUAUGCACAAAGUCACAAAGACUUGGCAACAAUCAUUACAGAGUAUUCCAAAGGAGAUCAACUCCUUGGAAAUAUCCUUCUUGCAUUAAGUUUCCUUAAUCUUACACAGAUUGAAAAUUCUAACUUUGAAACAUUUCCAGAUUCCAUUUUGACUAUCACUUCUGAACAAGAGUUGCCUCCUUACAGAUUAUGUCAAUAUGGUCCUUCCAGAAUUAUCACUAUACUUCCAAUUGUCCUUGAGUAACCAAUCUUUGGUAAACCUUAGAUUGUCCUCGACAAUUGUUUAAUCCUUUUAGUCAUAUCCAGUUCUAAACCUUUUCCCUUCUUAAUGCCCCAGGCAUUUGGAAAAUUUUAGAACGGAUGAAUAUAGCACAUGUAAUCGAUCCUAUAUCCGAAGCAUAUGGGACACGAUUCAUGAUGUCUUACAUAAAGACUAAACCAGUCUUUUGCUAUAAUAUUUCCAUUUCAAUUUGCCAAGUUCUCAUAAUUCAGAUUAUGAAAAGGGAUGCCGUAAUCAUAAUCGAAUUUUAGAACGCAAAUAAUGGACCCAUAUACAGAAUUUCCUUAUGUUGAGCCAUUCCAACAUGAAAUUCAUAUAUAUCCUUGACUAAAUGAUUAAAACCUCACGAUCUAAGCUUAUAGAUUUGAGAUGAAGCAUAAUUUCCUCUCCCUUAAUUAUAGCAAAACAACUUUUUCCCAAUUGAAACUUUUGUUUUCUAUAAUUAACAUUGCUAACUUGCAAUACUUAUCAUAAUUAUCAUGCUCCCACUAACAUGAUGAUUAUUAGCAUAACACUUAUGCUCCCACUAGCUUUGACAUGUACUCAGAAAUCAGCUGGACAGUCUGAAAUUUAGAUUCAUACACCCUUUCCGUAGAUAGCUCACCUGUGUGUCUAAGCAAUUUCAAGAACCAUGAAAAGGGAUACCGUAAUCAUGGUCUCAAUUGCUUAGGCAUUUGCCAUUUCUCACAAGUCCAUGUUAGUGUGCCGGUUAACCACACGCGCUCCACUAACGACUUUUGAAAAUGCAAAUAACACAAUUGAUAUCUUCGUAAAAUCUACUUAGUGAAAGCGUUUCCUCACCAUCAUUUUCAUGAAUCGGAGAGAAACCUUAUGACACUUAGAUUUAUAUGGUGUAUGAGUUCCUACCCAUAUGAAUUUGUCAAACCAUAAUCACAAGACAAAGAUAAUGACAAAUCCAAAACCAUAUGGAUUGAACUCAAUCUUAACUUCUUGCCACCUGGCAGCUCAAGGGCCUGCCAUUGCUUCCAAGUUGUUAUGCAACAAACUGAGAACUCUAAGAACUCAUAUGCAAAGCCAACUUUAACUGGAAUGGGCACAGAUAUGUCAACACGAUAGGUUAUAAACCUCAAGUCGUGUGCUAGUGAAGAACUUUAGGUUUUAUUCUUGAUUAUUUCUUGAGACUUUCAAGACCUUUAAGACUCCCACUGUCCUCUUGACAUAUAAGACUCCCUUGUCAAACAUCCAAGAGAUAGUGCGGAUUCUAAUCAAGAAAAACACUUUACCCAAUUGGCCUAAGUUGGUCUUUGUUUUAUCCAAAACAUCACAACUUACCAAUUUCAAAUGUACAAGAGUAGAAAACUUUUACUCUUACAUUUGACAAGUGUUUUAAACCUUCUUUAAGACAUGUCACUCAAAUGACAAUCUUGGAGUAUGACUCUAAGACUUGUAUUGGAACGAAGUAUGACUCAUCUUCUUGAUUUAACCAUUUCAACAAUUCAAGUUCCUCUUCUUAGUCAUAAGAAUGCACUAAGAUUUCCUUAGAGAACUAAUUUUGAUAUGGUUUCUUAAUCAUUAAGAUGAUCACAAAACUGAUACUAAAGUACUCUCCCAUCUUUUCAGAUUUGAGAAACUUUUAUCCUUCUGCCUUAUUUGAUUCUUCUUAUCGAUCUUUAGUGGUGGACUUAAUCAGUGCACAAGAAUGUGUACUCGAUCCCUAAGUCCUUUACUUGACUCACACAUCCAUGUGAACAAGUAAUUAGUCUUAAUUUUCCAAAACUUGAAAGUUCUCAUUCAUCAUGCUAUACAACUUGCAUGAUUCCAAGUUCCGGUCCAAUUGAAACUUGGGUGAUGAGAAUCUUUCCUUAUUUGGUAAAUUUAGACAUUACCACAAAUGAAAGAAUCAAUUUCAUAUUUCCACUCUUGCUCUUAAUGGAAUCAUAUAAGCAACAAUUUUUCCUCAAAUGCCAUUGUAAGGAUAUUUUAAAAUAAAUAAAAUCAAAAAAAUUUUCUUUUAUUUUAAAACUUUGCGGAAAAACUUAUCCUUACAAUCCAUAUGAAAACUUGUUGUUAUCUAUUCCUAAGCAAUAUCUCAUAACUCCUAAGAAGUAGCUCAAGAAUCCGAUCUUCAAACUAUGCGAUAGAAAUCCAUCUACGCCAUCAGAUUCAGCAUAUUCUUUCUUUAAGUUUCUUCACUUUUCUUUGAUUCUUAAAACAUCACCAUGUGACCCAGUCACAUCAUGUAUCAAGAAUCUCAGAAUAGAAACUUAACAGAGUUAGAUAGUGGACUUUACCUGAAGUAGAGUCAAACUUAUUGACUUUAACAUCCUUAGGUAAAUUUGGCAGCUUCGCAACCAAUGCCCCUUCCUUUGGCAAUAUAAACAUAUGGACCCUUUGAUAAUGGUACACGGGACUAUCACAGACUUAGCUUUUCUCUUUACCAUUUGGUCAACCGAGUUGACUAUGGCCGAUCCCUUUCCAUUGGGAAGAGAAUGCUUUACUGGAUAUCCAAUGUCAUCAUUGUCAAUGUCCAUAAAGUUUUAGGAAGUUGAUCUUAGCAAAUAGAUAAGAUCAUUAAGGGUCUUGUCAUAGUCUGUUUCAUAGGUGUCCCAAAGGAACUCACUAUGUGACUUAGAAAGUGGUUGAACCACCAACUUUCUCAAGACUUUGACACCCAACUCUCCCGGCUUGUCAAUAUGUGACUACAUCUCCAAGAUGUGACCACACCUAGACCUUGCCUUGCCAAUAGGGCCUGAGUGACCUUAAACUUUUCAAGAACUUGUGGGUUAGGGAGAAUAAUUUGAAGAGGUGAAGAAGUAUGAUAUCCAUGGGACAUCAUCUUCAUUAGGAAACCUUGUUUCAAGAGAUUUGGGAAGAUCAUAGGUGUCUAAACCAGACAUCUUUUGGGAGAUAUUCAAGAUAGUUGAUUUAAAGUCCUUAAUAUGACACCCAAUAUGAAAUAUUAAGGCUAGGACCCAACAAACUAUUUUAUAACUUAGAAGAGGUAUGCCGUAAUCCAAGCUAUAAAAUAUUUGAAGGUAGGUGAAUGACGAUUCACCAAUUUCCACCAAGAUAAACGAAAUGUAUUAUUAGGUUUUAAUUGGUUUUGAAACUCCUAGAUCUUUGAGAUUCAUUGAACUUUUCAAAGGCAUGUUUCAAUCUCGAGUGUGCCCUUCAGGUUUUGUGACUGGGAUGCCGAGGAUCACAAAACAAGGUGUGAAGUAACCAUGCAAAUCACUUGGUACCCUUAAUAAAUUACCCCUCAAUCGAUGUGCCGGUUAACCACACACGCUCCAUCGAUACUAUGAUAAAUAUUAAGUCACCCUUUACCUACCUUGUUAAGUCCAAGUUAGUGUGCCGGUUAACCACACACGCUCCACUAACGACUUAGACAAAGUGUAAAGUGUAAUUUCAUGGAUUAGCACCUUAUUCACAUUUUUCCUAAGUAACUAAGAUUGGGUAUUAUUAAGAGUUUAGUUACUUAGUAUUAUCAUUAAUACUUUUAAUGAAGGGAGAAUUCUAGUCCUGUCAAACCCGUUCGGCUAACGACCCUCCACCAGUCAAGCAAGCGGUGGGUGAGAGUGGACACCCAUUAAGUUGCCAUUUUAUAGGCAACAACCUUAUACCCACCUUAUAGACCGGCUUCGUGAAUGAGGCGUACUAGCGGUAAGACUGACUUUACUCUUAUACAUAUAUAUAUUAUUAACUUAUAAUAUUAUAAAGUAUAAGGGUUGAAUUUUAACUUUUAAAAUUCUAAGGGCUAACUUGGAAUUAAAGUAUUCAUACUUGAAAACUUUUCAAAUUCCAAAACUUGAGGGCAAGUUUUGAAACUAUUCAAAACUAAUUAAUUCCAUAACUUAUGUGUUUAAAGUAGUUUUAAUCCAAAAACUCUUCAAGUUCCAUAACUUGAGGACAAGUUAUGGAAGACUUUAAACUAAUAAAAGAACUAACUUUUUCUUUAUUUUAUAACUUAUGGAUUUAAUUAUGGUUACAUAUUUUUCUUUAAUGAAGUGACUCUUGAACUUCCAUAACUUGAGGACAAGUUAUGGAGUCAUAAAAAGUUAUUCAAUGACACAAGACUCUUCAUUUUGUAACCAUUGCCAACUUUUAUGAGUUUUAUGAGUCUUUAAUGUGACUCUUCAUGUAACUUGAGGACAAGUUACACAAACACAUUUUAUACUCAACUCUUAGAUUAAAAUGGAUUGAAAACAACUAUUUCACUCAACAUUUCUAUUAAUCUAAGCAACUCAUAAGAACAAGAUAAUUCAAAUCAAACUUUUUCAUGUAAUUAGUCUAAACCUUAAACUAAUACAAAACAUGAAUCUAUUGACAAUUAUCUUUGAAAAUGGAUUAGCAUGAACAUUACCACAUCAAAAACAAGUUUAUAAGUUCAAAAACAACUUAGGGUAAUGUUCCUAGUCCAUUUCUAGCCAAAAAACUCGAAAAUAUGCUGUCUGGGGGUCCAACUCGUCGAGUGCAUGAACCAACUCGGCGAGUUGGAUCGAAUUCAUCACUUUUUAGGCAUGGACUCGUCGAGUCUCCUGAUGGACUCGCCGAGUCUGAUGGCCAGACAGCACCAGAUUCGUUUUUUCAGCUUCUAUUGCAGGUAUAACAAGAAAACAAGCCUAGGCUCUGAUACCACUGUUGGGUUUUGAGCAUUCUAACACUCCUAAGUGUACAUGCAACCCUAAAUACCUUGGAUCUAUGUUUUCUCUAUUAUACAUGCAAAUAAGAACUUCCAAGGUAUUAUCCUAAUCUAGCAUACAAAACAAUAACUAUAGCAAGAUAGAAUACAUACCUCUUUGAUGUAGAAAGUCUUCAUGAAGCUUGAGUGCCUAGUGCCCCAAGUGUGACACCUCAAAUGGAAUCACAAUCAUCAAAACACUUAGAAUAACUUGAGAGAAUUCUUACAACUCAUGAAAUCGGCUAGCCCUCUCUAGAAUAAUACUAGUGGCCGAUUUUUCCUCAAUAAUAAGAUGCUUAUAUAGUUAGGGUUACACCAUGUAAACCCUAAUUGACAUGGCCUUUCAUUUCCAUGAUCCAUGGGUACAAAUACACCAUGGAGCAUCCAUGGACCAUCCUAUGGGUUUUAGCCCAACUUGAUUAUCCAUGGAGCAUUAGCCCACUAUACAAGUAUGGAUGAUUUACACAAUCAAC